rnacentral:rRNA from 1 species
CGUAGGUGGCAAGCGUUGUUCGGAAUUAUUGGGCGUAAAGGGCGCGUAGGCGGUUUGCUAAGUCAGUUGUGAAAAGCCCGGGGCUCAACCCCGGAGGGUCGGCUGAUACUGGUGGACUAGAGUACGGAAGAGGUAGCUGGAAUUCCCGGUGUAGCGAUGAAAUGCGUAGAUAUCGGGAGGAACACCUGAGGCGAAGGCGGGCUACUGGGCCGAUACUGACGCUGAUGCGCGAAAGCCAGGGGAGCAAACGGGAUUAGAUACCCCGGUAGUCCUGGCCCUAAACGAUGGACACUUGGUGUGUCGGGUAUUUCAGUCCCGGCGUGCCGGAGCUAACGCGUUAAGUGUCCCGCCUGGGGAGUACGGUCGCAAGGCUG